AAACUUUCAACAACGGAUCUCUUGGUUCUGGCAUCGAUGAAGAACGCAGCGAAAUGCGAUAAGUAAUGUGAAUUGCAGAAUUCAGUGAAUCAUCGAAUCUUUGAACGCACAUUGCGCCCUGUGGUAUUCCGCAGGGCAUGCCUGUUCGAGCGUCAUUUA
rnacentral:rRNA from 4 species